AUUGAACGCUGGCGGCAGGCCUAACACAUGCAAGUCGAGCGAGCUGCGGACGGGUGAGUAAUGUCUGGGAAACUGCCUGAUGGAGUGGGAUAACUACUUGAAACGGUAGCUAAUACAGCAUCCCCUCAGAUGUGCCCAUAUGGGAUUAGCUAGUAGGGGGGGUAACGGCUCACCUAGGCGACGAUCCCUAGCUGGUCUGAGAGGAUGACCAGCCACACUGGAACUGAGACACGGGCCAGACUCCUACGGGAGGCAGCAGUGGGGAAUAUUGCACAAUGGGCGCAAGCCUGAUGCAGCCAGGCCGCGUGUGUGAAGAAGGCCUUCGGGUUGUAAAGCACUUUCAGCGGGGAGGCGUUACCCGCAGAAGAAGCACCGGCUAACUCCGUGCCAGCCGCCGCGGUAAUUC
rnacentral:rRNA from 1 species